CGCUCAUAUCCGCGGUAUUUUGGGUUCCUUCAUUUUAUUUGUGCAGCACCUAAGCUUGUAUAUGCACACAAGCUCAGAAGUGAGUGAAGCGGACGUCAAAAUGCCCACCAAACGCAGCAAACAAGAGGCUGUCAUGGAUCUGACCCCAGAGAACCCAGUGAGGCGUUCAUCUCGUCAAACCCUGGUUGCUAAACGUCUUGAAUACUCCCCAAAAGAAGAAAAGCCUGUCGAGACUCCCCGAAAGAAAAUGAGGCUCGAGUUGCACAGUGAAACAACACAAAAGCACAUCAAAUCUGAAGAACAAACGAAUGAGG
ensembl:lncRNA